AUGGUGGGGUUUUAGGGCUAUACCAAGGUAUUGUAAUAAGGCUUUAAAUGAGUGCUAAGAGAAUGGUUUAACAAGGGUUAACUUUCUUAACUUUUAUAAUGGAAGUUGAUUUAAAAAUGAAAAAGUUUUUAUGAAAUUUUGGGACAAGAAGACCCUAUGAAUUUUUCUUUUAUCCCUUUAGUGGUUAGCUAAAAUAAUUAAUAAAGGGUUAAAAGUUUGUUGGGGGGAUUUUUAAAGAUUAUUAAUCUUUAAAAAAAUUAUACAAAAUAGACCCAUUAUUAAUGGAUAUUUGUAAAAAUACUCUAGGGAUAACAGCGUAAUAACUUUGGAUAGAUCUUAUAGAUAAAGUGGUUUGCGACCUCGAUGUUGGAUUAGGAUUCUUUUAGGAUGAAGAAGUCUGAAAAGAAGUUGCUCAACUUUUAAAAUCUUACAUGAU
rnacentral:rRNA from 1 species